CAAAUCAACCAAAUCCACAUAAAAUUAAUCCAGAAAUCCCCAGAAAAUUAAUCAAGAAAUCCAAAUCCAAAUCAAAACAAUCAAAAGCUCUAAAUCGUAAAUUCCUAAUUUAUAAAUCCUCAUUCGAACCCUAAUUCAGAGAAAGCUUCAGAGAGGAAAGAGAAAGAUAUGGGUCGAGCUUCGAAGAUUUGAGAGAGCUUUCGGCAGUAGCUCUUU
rnacentral:lncRNA from 1 species